rnacentral:rRNA from 1 species
CCUACGGGUGGCUGCAGUGAGGAAUAUUGGUCAAUGGACGAGAGUCUGAACCAGCCAAGCAGCGUGAAUGAUGACUGCCCUAUGGUUUGUAAACUUCUUUUAUAAAGGAAUAAAACGAGGCACGUGUGCCUUCUUGCAUGUACUUUAUGAAUAAGGAUCGGCUAACUCCGUGCCAGCAGCCGCGGUAAUACGGUGGAUCCGAGCGUUAUCCGGAUUUAUUGGGUUGAAAGGGAGCGUAGAUGGGUAGUUAAGUCAGUUGUGAAAGUUUGGGGCUCAACCGUAAAAUUGCAAUGGAUACUGGAAGUAUGGAGUGCAGUUGAGGUAGGCGGAAUUCGUGGUGUAGCGGUGAAAUGCUUAGAUAUCACGAAGAACACCGAUUGCGAAGGCAGCUUACUAGACUGUGACUGACAUUGAUGCUCGAAAGUGUGGGGAUCAAACAGGAUUAGAUACCCCUGUAGUC